ACGUGAUCUGAGUUCAGACCGGAGUAAUCCAGGUCGGUUUCUAUCUAUAAAGAGCUUUUUCUAGUACGAAAGGACCUAAAAAGCAUGGCCUAUGUUUAAUGCAAGCCAUACUCAUUAAUUUAUGAUUUCAACUCAAUAAAUAACUGACCUACAACCCCAUUCUAGACAAGAAUA
rnacentral:rRNA from 1 species